ensembl:lncRNA
GCAAAGGAAGAUGAGACUGUCUUCUAUCUGAGCAACAUACUGUAGCAAAUCUGUGGUAGCUCAGUGUUCACCAAGUGGAGAGCACCAGGGCUCCCAGACAGGAGGAUGGAGCUCACUACAUCAAGCACAGCAAGCCAGGAGCUUCUUGAAUUGCUUCUGUUCUGCUGAGACUGGAAUUUGUUGGAGGCUCACCUGUGCUGACAUGACCUUGUGUAGCAGAAAUGCUAAAUCACAGCUUGAAGCAGUGAUUGAGCACCUGGUGGGAAGGUAGGGCCAACCCAAGGGAGCUCAGGUGUGUGCAAUGCAGCUGAGUGACCGGAAUGGGUGAAGCCAGGAUCCACCCCUUUCCAGACCUCAUUUAAGGGUUGGCAGUGAAGGCAAGGGUAUCUUCCUGGAGAUCCCUGCAUAUCUGAGGCCUUUUGAAGGUAGAUGCGCAGUACCAAACACAUGGGACCUGAGUUCUGGCCUGGGUUCGCAGCAGUGGGAACCAUGAUGUCAUUACGAGUUGGAAACCUUGUGCAGUGCUCGGCAUGGAACGGGUGGGGGGACUGAUGGGUUAGUCAGCAUGGAGCUGAGGCAGCGACAGAUUUACUGCUCCUUACACUUCCAUACGACUGAGGGAGAGGAAGCCUUGCCCAGCAUGAAGGUAUCCAUCGGGGGUUACAAGGUCAGCAUUCAAGAUGUUGGGUUACGUUCCAGGCCAAAAGCGAAAUGAUGAGUGACAUGGCCCACUGUCAUCGGAAUAUAUCAUCGUGAUCUUGUGCUAUUUCUGAUUGGUGCAGAAGCAGGAAAUUCCAGCAGUCUCCCAAGCAAGCUCUCUCCUCUGGGAUUCUGUCUGUGCUGGCAUCCCUGUCAGAGAUGACUUUUCACACCAUCAAGGCCACUUUCUCAGCUUAUUGACAGCUUUAUGAGCGCUGUUGGAAGAGCCCCAGCUUCGUUCCUCGGCUCCGGCUUUCCGUCGGGCGAGAGUGACAGAUGGCUGCGGCUGGGAUGGAGCCGUUCCUUUCCCUGCUCAGAAGAGGGCAAUCAGCAAAACCUCAGGGCAGCUCCAAGGGACAUGAGAGUCUUGCUUUACACACGCACAGAGCAGCCCUGGAAGGAGUGAAAUGAAGAACUGUCAAGGAAAGUUGGAGGAGUUGUGCUGUCCCAAGCGUGCAGGCACGGUGCUUGUAAAACCACAGGGUGUGAGCGUGGUAUUAGCAAGCCUUUGUGUCAUCUCCAGGGGAGAGCUGAGUCCCAUUGAAGGCAGAGGACAGACGUCAUUCAGAGUUCGCUUCCUCUGCAUCAGAGAUGGCAAAAAGUAAUAUAAACACAGGAGAAGGAGAAGAAAGAAGAAAUAGAGACGUUGGAAGCAAUGUGCAGUACGUAUGUUUGUGUGAAGCGCCGUGUAUUUCAGCUAGAGCAGAUGAAUGCAUGUUAAUUCUGUUGCUGCACUAUCCCGGUAACUUGUUAGCAUUAUUCAAAUCAGUGUUGUUUUGCUUAUGGAAAUGUGGGUAUGAGAAGGUGUCCUUGUGGGGAAGAGGAGCUCGGUGGGUAGGGGAGGUCUCCCUGGCAUGGAGUCCUCAACAGGGCGGUGCUGAGCAGACAAUGCAAGGAAAGCUUGUCAAAUGUCAUUUGUUAGAGCAGAAACAGCAGAAAAUCGAGGCCAUGAAAAAUAUAAGCCUCAUGCCAAUUCUUUAUGCUUCGCAGGGAUUUCCUGACGGGAUAUUUCAGGAGCCCUGUCACUGAGCCCUAGGGCCUGCAGCAGGAUGGAGGGCUGAGGAUGGAUUUGUUUAAAAGGCAGAAGCCCUGCAGCCAAGACAC